rnacentral:tRNA from 1 species
GGUUUUGGCUCAUUGGUAGAGUGCUUGCCUGGCACGUGUGAGGCACUGGGUUCAAUCCUCAGCACCG